rnacentral:rRNA from 1 species
UACGGGGGGAGCAAGCGUUGUUCGGAAUCACUGGGCGUAAAGCGCGUGUAGGCGGCUAAGUAAGUCGGGCGUGAAAUCCCACGGCUCAACCGUGGAAGUGCACUCGAAACUGCAUAGCUAGAGUCCUGGAGAGGAAGGUGGAAUGCUUGGUGUAGAGGUGAAAUUCGUAGAUAUCAAGCGGAACACCGGUGGCGAAGGCGGCCUUCUGGACAGUGACUGACGCUGAGACGCGAAAGCGUGGGGAGCAAACAGG